AUUGAACGCUGGCGGCAGGCCUAACACAUGCAAGUCGAACGGUAGCACAGAGAGCUUGCUCUCGGGUGACGAGUGGCGGACGGGUGAGUAAUGUCUGGGAAACUGCCCGAUGGAGGGGGAUAACUACUGGAAACGGUAGCUAAUACCGCAUAACGUCGCAAGACCAAAGUGGGGGACCUUCGGGCCUCACACCAUCGGAUGUGCCCGGAUGGGAUCAGCUAGUAGGUGGGGUAAUGGCUCACCUAGGCGACGAUCCCUAGCUGGUCUGAGAGGAUGACCAGCCACACUGGAACUGAGACACGGUCCAGACUCCUACGGGAGGCAGCAGUGGGGAAUAUUGCACAAUGGGCGCAAGCCUGAUGCAGCCAUGCCGCGUGUAUGAAGAAGGCCUUCGGGUUGUAAAGUACUUUCAGCGGGGAGGAAGGCGGUGGAGUUAAUAACUUCACCGAUUGACGUUACCCGCAGAAGAAGCACCGGCUAACUCCGUGCCAGCCGCCGCAGUAA
rnacentral:rRNA from 1 species